rfam:Triticum aestivum genome assembly, contig: Triticum_aestivum_CS42_TGACv1_scaffold_406685_5BL
GUUGUACUCCCUCCGUCCCAAAAUUCUUGUCUUAUAUUUGUCUAGAUACGGAUGUAUCUAACACUAAAACGUAACUAGGUAUAUCCGUAUUUAAACAAAUCCGUAUUUAAACAAAUCUAAGACAAGAAUUUUGGGACGGAGGGAGUAUGUU